rnacentral:tRNA from 1 species
GGAGACAUAGCUCAGCUGGCUAGAGCAACUGACUUUUAAUCAGUGGGUCCAGGGUUCGAAUCCCUGUGUCUCCACCA